AAACCCGCCCGGGGCUGCCCUUUGCCUGUCUUUUCUCCUCCCAUCCCUCUCUGAACCCUUUCACCUCAUCCAUUCCCUUGUCAGGCUCUCCAGAUUCCCGGGCUGUUUGCUGGUGAGAAAUCUUUGCUGCAGCGAGGACCGGAGUACCCCGCGCGCAGCCCAGUGGCAGAAGAGGGCUAGGCUGAGAGGGAAGCCAGGACUGUAGGAGAGGGAGGCAGUCCGUCCUCCUCACGAACCUGCAAGGAUGCGGCAGGGGCCUGGGGGCAUGGGGAGGUACUAACCCCCCGGAGCCCCCGAUUGGGGCUUGCAGACCUGGCCCGUGGGCCGAUUUUCUGCCUAGCGCAGCCGAGAAGCAGAGGUGCCAGGAAAACCAAGAGAGGGGCGCUGGGGGUGCCCAUCCCCAGAGUCGGUCCCUCUGCGAACCGAGGAAGAAAAGAGGAGGGAGUCAGCGAGUGGUGAGAAGGGAAAACCUGUCACCAGACUGGCUCCGGAGCGUCCGGGAGACUGGGGCGCUCCGCGCCAUCGUCUUCAAUGCUUCUCUGAACAGCCUUUAGGAAGAGUGCGAGAGAAAGAGAGAGAGCGCGCGCCAGGGAGAGGA
rnacentral:lncRNA from 1 species